AUUGAACGCUGGCGGCAUGCCUUACACAUGCAAGUCGAACGGUAACAGGUCUUCGGAUGCUGACGAGUGGCGAACGGGUGAGUAAUACAUCGGAACGUGCCCGAUCGUGGGGGAUAACGGAGCGAAAGCUUUGCUAAUACCGCAUACGAUCUACGGAUGAAAGCAGGGGACCGCAAGGCCUUGCGCGAACGGACCGGCCGAUGGCAGAUUAGGUAGUUGGUGGGAUAAAAGCUUACCAAGCCGACGAUCUGUAGCUGGUCUGAGAGGACGACCAGCCACACUGGGACUGAGACACGGCCCAGACUCCUACGGGAGGUAGCAGUGGGGAAUUUUGGACAAUGGGCGCAAGCCUGAUCCAGCAAUGCCGCGUGCAGGAUGAAGGCCUUCGGGUUGUAAACUGCUUUUGUACGGAACGAAAAGGCUCUGGUUAAUACCUGGGGCUCAUGACGGUACCGUAAGAAUAAGCACCGGCUAACUACGUGCCAGCCGCCGCCGUAAAAC
rnacentral:rRNA from 1 species